AUAAUCAAAAUAUGCAGCAAUCGGUGGAUGGAGAUCUAUCUUUGUGAACUCAAAAGGAUAUGCAGGUUUAAAGGACAUGGAUUUUUGUGUCAGAAUUUCCAAGUUUCAAUUAGUUCACAAGUUGGAGGAUGAACUUGAUGGAUGGCUGCUUAGGGAUUGUGGUUUAACCAAGUAAAUUUUACUUGGAUGGUUAUGUUAAUUCUUGUGAAAGGUUGUAGAUUGCAUAUAGAAUGUGAAGAGUACAAGGUCUGAUGCACAUUAAGAGAUGAGGUUGAGUGGGUCAUUGAAGUUCUGGUUCGGGAUGAUGUUAAAAUAUACCUCACCAAGCUUGAAGGUUGCUUUGAGAUUAUUGUUAUCUCUGUCACUAAGGAAGGUGUGAAGUUCUGAACCAGGGGUGAUAUUGGAACUGCAAAUGUUGUUUGCAGACAGAACACAACAGUCAACAAGGUGUUCAAUGAUGCUCAAAGAAAUGCUUGUAUGUGGAUGAGAGAAUAUGAAACUUCAAAAAGAGAUUGCAGCUUCGAAAAGAGAAACUAGAAAUGAAGCUCAAUUUGACUGUAGAUU